rnacentral:rRNA from 1 species
GAUGAACGCUGGCGGCGUGCCUAAUACAUGCAAGUCGAGCGAACGGACGAGAAGCUUGCUUUUCUGAUGUUAGCGGCGGACGGGUGAGUAACACGUGGAUAACCUACCUAUAAGACUGGGAUAACUUCGGGAAACCGGAGCUAAUACCGGAUAAUAUUUUGAACCGCAUGGUUCAUAAGUGAAAGACGUUCUUGCUGUCACUUAUAGAUGGAUCCGCGCUGCAUUAGCUAGUUGGUAAGGUAACGGCUUACCAAGGCAACGAUGCAUAGCCGACCUGAGAGGGUGAUCGGCCACACUGGAACUGAGACACGGUCCAGACUCCUACGGGAGGCAGCAGUAGGGAAUCUUCCGCAAUGGGCGAAAGCCUGACGGAGCAACGCCGCGUGAGUGAUGAAGGUCUUCGGAUCGUAAAACUCUGUUAUUAGGGAAGAACAUAUGUGUAAGUAACUGUGCACAUCUUGACGGUACCUAAUCAGAAAGCCACGGCUAACUACGUG